rnacentral:misc_RNA from 1 species
GAAAUGCGAUAAGUAAUGUGAAUUGCAGAAUUCAGUGAAUCAUCGAAUCUUUGAACGCACCUUGCGCUCCUUGGUAUUCCUUGGAGCAUGCCUGUUUGAGUAUCAUGAAAUCUUCAAAGUAAAUCUUUUGUUAACUCAAUUGGCUUCUACUUUGGUAUUGGAGGUCUUUGCAGCUUCACACCUGCUCCUCUUUGUUCAUUAGCUGGAUCUCAGUGUUAUGCUUGGUUCCACUCGGCGUGAUAAGUUAUCUAUCGCUGAGGACACUGUAAAAGGUGGCCAAGGUAAAUGCGGAUGAACCGCUUCUAAUAGUCCAUUGACUUGGACAAUACUUUUAUGAUCUGAUCUCAAAUCAGGUAGGACUACCCGCUGAACUUAAGC